AGCACCCCCAGCACCAUCCACUGUCUGUCGGCCACUUCCCCAGGCCAAGAUCCUGCCUACCUUUCAACUUUGUCCACAAAUUCAACGCCUCCCUCACACUGGCCAGUUGAGGCCCAGCUUGGCCUCUAGCAGAUGUCUCUGGACUUAGCUAUCGCCUUGUACUGGCCUUGAGUCUGGGCCCAGGCAACAGGCCCAAGCUUUGCCCCCGGCAGCCUUUUUUUUUUUUUUUUUUAGUGCAGUUUUGCUUUUGUUACCCAGCCGCGAGUGCAAUGGUGUGAUCUCGGCUCACCUCAACUUCCGCCUCCUGUGUUCAGGCAAUUCUCCUGCCUCAACCUCCUGAGUAGCUGGGAUUACAGGCAUGCGCCACCAUGCCCAGCUAAUUUUUUGUAUUUUUUUUUUUUCCUUCCUCGCACCGGCUUUUCUCGGCCCAGCUUGCCUCUCAUAAAGCCUCGUUCAGCUCCUGCAUCCCAGCAGCCUGUCCAGGCCUGAAGCUUCCUCUCCGGGCCUGGCCUCUCCAGGCCUGGCUCCUGCCAGCUCUAAGCCCCUCCGGGUUGAGUGUCCGCCUCUCAGUGGACCCCCCAGACCCAGCUCGUGGCCUCAUUGUGGGCUCCGCUCAGACCAGCUCCUGCCUCUGUGGCAGCCUGUCUCCACAGGCCCAGCUCCUGGCCUCCCAGUGGCCCCCUCGGGCCAAACCACUGCUCCAGACUGCCCUCUUAGACCCAGCAUUGGCCUGGUGGCGUCCUCUUGGGCUGCAGAAUGUCUUCAGAUAGGCCCCUCGGGGCUCAGCACCUCCUCUCGGCAGCGUCUACAGGCCCAACUUCUGAAUUUGCCUCACAGCAACCUCUGUGGACUCGGCUCCUGCCCAGCUCCCGACGGCCUUUGUAGGCCCGCAUGCUCAGACCAUCGACUCAGGCUCUCCAGGACUACCCGGCUCAUGCCUCAUGCUGGCCUCUCCGGGCUCACCUUCUGCCCACCCAGGGUGCCUAUAGGCCCCAGAUGUUCCAGAGUUGGCUUCUCCAGGCCCAGCUCCAGACUCCUCCUAUUGGCCUCUGCAGGUUCAAGCAUUGGGUUCUCAAUUCAGUCUCUCCAGGCCCAGCUUCAGUCCUCCUGGCGUCUCCUUUCCAUGGGUGCAAAACAUCACGUGGGCCCUUCUAGGGCCAGCUCGUGCCUCCCAAAGGCCCCCUGGGCUUACCUCCUGCCUCCCAUCAGCCUCUUCUGGAUGCCUACCCUCUGCCUCUGUACUGGUGGCCUCUCCAGGCCUGGAUCCUCCUCCUGGCCACAUCUACGGGCCCAAGCUUUGCCCCCGGCAGCCUUUUCUUUUGAAACGCAGUUCUGCUCUUGUUACCCAGCCGCGAGUGCAAUGGUGUGAUCUCGGCUCACCUCAACGUCCACCUCCUGAGUUCAGGCAGUUCUCCUGCCUCAACCUCCUGAGUAGCUGGGAUUACAGGCAUGCACCACCAUGCCCAGCAAAUUUUUUGAAUUUUUUUUUGUUUCCUUCCUCCCACCGGCUAUUCUCAGCCCAGCUUGCCUCUCAUAAACUCUCUGUUCAGCUCCUGCAUCCCAGCGGCCUGUCCAGGCCCGAAGCUUCCUCUCCAGGCCUGGCCUCUCCAGGCCUGGUUCCUGCCAGCGCUAAGCCCCUCUGGGUUGAGCAUCCGCCUCUCAGUGGACCCCCCAGACCCAGCUCGUGACCUCAUCGUGGGCUCCGCUCAGACCAGCUCCUGCCUCUGUGGCAGCCUGUCUCUGCAGGCCCAGCUCCUGGCCUCCCAGUGGCCCCCUCGGGCCAAACCACUGCUCCAGACUGCCCUUUUAGACCCAGCAUUGGCCUGGUGGCCUCCUCUCGGGCUGCAGAAUGUCUUCAGAUAGGCCCCUCGGGGCCCAGCGCCUCCUCUCGGCAGCGUCUACAGGCCCAACUUCUGAAUUUGCCUCACAGCAACCUCUGUGGACUCGGCUCCUGCCCAGCUCCCGAUGGCCUUUGUAGGCCCGAACGCUCAGACCAUCGACUCAGGCUCUCCAGGACUACCCGGCUCAUGCCUCAGGCUGGCCUCUCCGGGCUCACCUUCUGCCCACCCAGGGUGCCUGUAGGCCCCAGAUGUCCCAGAGUUGGCUUCUCCAGGCCCAGCUCCAGACUCUUCCUAUUGGCCUCUGCAGGUUCAAGCAUUGGGUUCUCAAUUCAGCCUCUCCAGGCCCAGCUUCAGUCCUCCUGGCAUCUCCUCCCCAUGGGUGCAAAACGUCAUCACGUGGGCCCUUCUAGGGCCAGCUCGUGCCUCCCAAAGGCCCCCUGGGCUCACCUCCUGCCUCCCGUCAGCCUCUUCUGGAUGCCUACCCUCUGCCUCUGUACUGGUGGCCUCUCCAGGCCUGGAUCCUCCUCCUGGCCACAUCUACGGGCCCAAGCUUUGCCCCCGGCAGCCUUUUUUUGUUUUUAUUUUGAAACGCAGUUUUGCUCUUGUUACCCAGCCGUGAGUGCAAUGGUGUCAUCUCGGCUCACCUCAGCCUCUGCCUCCUGGGUUCAGGCAAUUGUCCUGCCUCAGCCUCCUGAGUGGCUGGGAUUACAGGUAUGGGCCACCAUGCCCAGCUAAUUCUUAGUAUUUUUGUUUUUUUGAGAUGGAGUUUCGCUCUUGUUACCCAGGCUGGAGUAGAAUGGCAUGAUCUUGGCUCACUCCAACCUCCGUUUCCUGGGUUUAGGCAAUCCUCCUGCCUCAGCCGCCUGAGUAUAUGGGAUUACAGGCACGUGCCACCGUGUUCGGGUAAUUUUUUUUUUUUUUUUUUUUUUUUUUUUUUGAGACGGAGUUUCGCUUUUGUUACCCAGGCUGGAGUGCAAUGGUGCCAUCUCGGAUCACUGCAACCUCCGCCUCCUGGGUUCAGGCAAUUCUCCUUCCUCAGCCUUCUGAGUACCUAGGAUUAAGGCACACGCCACCAUGCCCGGCUAAUUUUUUGUAUUUUUAGGUGAGACGGGGUUUCACCAUGUUGACCAGGAUGGUCUCGAUCUCCUGAUCUCCUGAUCCACCCGCCUCUGCCUCCCAAAGUGCCGGGAUUACAGGCGUGAGUUACUGCGCCUGGUCCCCAGCAGCGUCUUUUGGCUCAGCUCCUGGCCAGCUCCCAGCGGCCUUUUGUCUGUCAACCCAAUGCUUUCUCAGGUGGGGCCUUCUGGGUGUCCCUUCUGUUGAGGACACCGGGAGGCAGAAGGGACGCCCGAAAGCCCCACCUGAAGAAGCUUCACGCCGACAGAUGAAAGGCCGCCAUGAGCUGGCGAGGAGCCGAGCCGAAAGAGGCUGCCAGGGGCAAAAUUGGGCCCGUAGACGUGGCCAGUAUGAGGAUCCAGGCCUGGUGAGGCUGCCAGUAGGGAGGUAUAGGCUGGGCCUCCUGGAGAGGCCACCUGAUGGGAAUCAGGAGCUGGGCCCCAGAGGGCCACUGGGAUGCAGGAGCUGGCCCUGGAGGGGACCACGUGAUGAUGUACUGCGCCCAGGUUGGGGGGUGCUGCCAGGAGGGCAGGAGCUGGACCUGCAGAGGCGGACUUCAUGACCCAGUGCUUGGGCCUCCCAAGGCCAGCGGGAGGACAAAGCAGGACUGGGCCUCAGGGCUGAGCUCUGGACUCCCCGCUGCCCCCACAGCCCCAGCUGCUGCCUGCUGGCUGCUUCCGCAGGCCAUCUUUCCUGCCUGCCUGCCUGCCUGCCUGCCUCCCUGCAUCUCGGCUGCAUCCACAGGCCCAGCGCCUCCCUCACACUGGCCAGUUGAGGCCCAAUUCAUGCCUCUGAAAGACGUCUCUGGAGCCAGCUAUCGCCUGGUGAUGGCCUCUACUCUGGGCGCAGGUCCUCCCUCGCACCAGCCUUUCUCAGCCCAGCUCCUGUCUUGUGAUGGACUCUCGCGUGCCAGCUCCUGUCCCCUGGCGGCCUGUCAGGGCCCAAAGCUUUCACUCCGGGCCCAGCCUCCCCACACUGGACUCCUGCCUGCGCUAGGCCCUCGGGCCCAGCCUCCGCCUCUCAGAGGACCCUUCAGACCCCGCUUCUGACUGUGGCAGCCUGUUUCCACAGGCCCAGACCCCAGCCUCCCAUUGGCCCCCUGGGGCCAAGCCAGUGCCUCCCAGUGGGCCCUGCCGGGCCCAGCGUUGGCCUUCUGGCAUCCUCUUCGUGUCCAGAACGUCUUCAGUCGGCCUCUCAGGACCCAGCGCCUCCUCGGCAGCGUCUACAGGCCCAACUUCUGAAUUUGCCUCGCAGCAACCUGUGUGGACUCGGCUCCUGCCCAGCUCCCGACGGCCUUUGUGGGCCUGAAAGCUCAGACCAUCGACUCAGGCUUUCCAGGACUACCCGGCUCAUGCCUCACGCUGGCCUCUCCGGGCUCACCUUCUGCCCACCCACGGUGCCUAUAGGCCCCAGAUGUCCCAGAGUUGGCUUCUCCAGGCCCGGCUCCACACUCCUCCUAUUGGCCUCUGCAGGCCUAAGCAUUGGCUUCUCAAUUCAGCCUCUUCAGGCCCAGCUUCAGUCCUCCUGGCAUCUCCUCCCCAUGGGUGCAAAACGUCAUCACGUGGGCCAUUCUAGGGCCAGCUCAUGCCUCCCAAAGGCCCCCUAGGCUUAGCUUCUGCUUUCCUUCAGCCUCUCCUGGACACCUAGCCUCUGCCUCUGUACUGGCGGCCUCUCCAGGCCUGGAUCCUCCUCCUGGCCAUGUCUCCGGGCCCAUGUUUUGCCUCCGGCAGCCUUUUUUUUUUUUUUUUGAGACGGAGUUUUGCUCUUGUUACCCAGGCGGGAGUGCAAUGGUGUGCUUUCAUCUCACCUCAACCUCCGCCUUUUGGGUUCAGGCAGUUCUCCUACCUCAGCCUCCUGAGUAGCUGGGAUUACAGGGAUGCACCACCAUGCCCAGUUAAUUUUUUGUAUUUUUUUUUUUUUUUUUUUGGAGACAGAAUUUUGCUCUUGUUACCCAGGCUGGAGUAGAAUGGCGCGAUCUCGGCUCACCGCAACCUCCGCCUCCUGGGUUCAGGCAAUUCUGCCUCAGCCUCCUGAGUAGCUGGGAUUACAGGCACCCGCCACUGUGCCCAGCAAUUUUUUUUCUUUUUUUUGAGAUGGAGUUUCGCUCUUCUUGCCCAGGCUGCAGUGCAAUGGCACGAUCUCAGCUCUCCGCAACCUCCACCUCCUGGGUUCAGGCAAUUCUCCUGCCUCAGCCUUCUGCAUAAUCUGGCAUUACAGGCACACGCCACCAUGGCCAGCUAAUUUUUUGUAUUUUUAGGUGAGACAGGGUUUCACCAUGUUGAUCAGGAUGGUCUCGAUCUCCUGACCUCAUGAUCCACCCACCUCGGCCUCCCAAAGUACCGGGAUUACAGGCGUGAGUUAUCACACCUGCUCCCCAGCAGCGGUUUUUGGCUCGGCUCCUGGCCAGCUCCCGGCGGGCUUUCGUCUGUCGGCCCAAAGCUGUCUCAGGUAAGGCCUUCCAGGCCUCCCUUUUGCCUCCCGGUGGCCUCAACAGAAGGGACACUUAGAAGGCCCCACCUGAGGAAGGUUCACACCAACAGACAAAAGGCUGCUGGGAGCUGGACUGGAGCCAAGCCAAAACAGGCUGCUGGGGGCAAAACUUGGGCCUGUAGAUGUGACCAGGAUGAGGAUCCAGGCCUGGUGAGGCUGCCAGUAGGGAGGCAGAGGAUGGGCCUCCUGGAGAGGCCACCUGAUGGGAAUCAGAAGCUGGGCCCCAGGGGGCCACUGGGAUGCAGGAGCUGGUUCUGGAGGGGACCACGUGAUGGUGUAUUGCACCCACGUUGGGCGGUGCUGCCAGGAGGGUAGGAGGUUGACCUGUUGAGGCGGACUUCAUGACCCACUGCUUGAGCCUCCCAAGGCCAGCGGGAGGACAAAGCAGGACUGGGCCCAAGGGCCAUGCUCUGGACUCGCCGCAGCCUCCCCAGCCCCAGCUGCUGCCUGCUGGCUGCUUCCGCAGUCCAAGAUUUUUCCUACCUGCCUGCCUGCCUGCAUUCCGGCUGCAUCCACAGGCCCAGCGCCUCCUUCACACUGGCCAGUUGAGGCCCAAUUCAUGCCUCUGAAAGACGCCUGUGGAGCCAGCUAUCACCUGGCGCUGGCCUCGACUCUGGGCGCACGUCCUUCGCACCGGCCUUUCUCGGCCUAGCUCACCUGUCAUGGACUCUCCCGGGUCAGCUCCUGUCCUCCGGCGGCCUGUCAGGGCCUGAAGGUUUCUCUCUGGGCCCAGCAUCCCCACACCGGGCUCCUGCCUGUGCUAGGCCCUUGGGCCCAGUUUCCGCCUCUCAGAGGACCCUUCAGACUCCGCUUCUGCCUUUGUGGCAGCCUGUUUCCACAGGCCCAGGCCCCAGCCUCCUCGUGGCCCCCUGGGGCCAAGCCAGUGCCUCCCAGGGGACCCUGCCGGGCCCAGCGUUGGCCUUCUGGCAUCCUCUUCGUGUCCAGAACGUCUUCAGGUCGGCCUCUCUGGGCCCCGCGCCUCCUCUCAGCAGCAUCUACAGGCCCAACAUGCGAAUUUUUCUUGCAGCAACCUCUGUGGACUUGGCUCCUGCCCAGCUCCCGAUGGCCUCUGUAGGCCCGAAAGCUCAGACUAUCGACUCAGGCUCUCCAGGCCCACCCGGCUCAUGCCUCAUUAGUGGCCUCUCCGAGCUCAGCUCCUGCCCUCCCAGGGCAUCUCCAGGCCCCAGACAUUCCCAAGUCGGCUUCUGCCAGCCCGGCUCUUGUUGCCUUUUCCUGCUGGCCAUGGGAGGCCCAGUAUUGGGUCCUGAAUUCAGCCUCUCCAGACCCAGCUCCUGCCCUCCUGGCAUCUCCUCAUGGGCACAAAACUUCAUCAGGUGGGCCCCUCCAAGUUGAGCUUCUGCCUCCCAAAGGCCCCGUGGGCCCAGCUUUUGCCUCCUGUCAGCCUCUUCGGGAGGUCCAGUGUAUGCCUCCUCUCUGGGGGACUCCCCAGAUCUGGAUCCUCCUCCUGGCCCUGUCUACCGGCCCGUCCUGCCUUCUGGCAGCUUCUUUUGGCUCGGCCCCUGGCCAGCUUCCCGCGGCCUUUCAUCUGUCAGCCCAAAGUGUUCUCAAGUGGGGCUUUCUAGGCUGCCAUUCUGCCUCCUGGUGGCCUUGACAGACCCUGCUACCGCCUGAUGUUGGCUGCUCCAGGCCAGCUCUGGACCUCCCGCAGCCUCCCCAGCCCCAGUUGCUGCCUGCUGGUGGCUUCCCCAGGCCAAGAUACUGCCUGCUUGCCUGCAUCCCGGCUGUGUCCACAGGCCUAGUUCCUCCCUGACACUGAUUCAUUGAGGCCCAGCUCAUGCCUGUGACAAACCUCUCCGGACCCAGCUUUCACCUCACGCUGGCCUCUAGUCUAGGCCCAGGUUCUCCCUCGCAGCGGCCUUCCUCAGCUGAGCUCGCCUAUCAUGGACUCUCCUGGGCCAGCUCCUGCCUCCUGGCGGCUUAUCCAGGCCCAAAGCUUCAUCUCCGGGCCCGGCCUCCUUAGGCCCGGCUCCUGCCUUUGCCAGGCCCCUCCGGGCCCGGCCUCCACUUUUCAAUGGACCCUCCAGGCCCAGCUUGUGGCAUUACUGUGGCCACUGCUCAGGCUUAGCUCCUGCCUCUGUGGCAGCCUUUAUUUUCAGGCCCUCCCCCAGCCUCCCCGUGUCCCCAUCAGACCAAGCUGGUGCCUCCCAGUGGCCCUGCCAGGCCCAGCAUUGGCAUUCUGGCAUCCUCUUUAUUCCCAAAAUGUCUUCAGGUCAGCCUCUUUAGGCCCAGCUCUUCCUCCCUGUUGUGUCUGGAAGCCCCAGUCUUUCCUUGCAAGAAGCAUCACAGGCCCAGCUUCUUCCCACCUCUUGGUCUUCCUUUCGUACACACUGGUGUCUCCAAGACCAUCUGCUUAGUCAUGUCUGCCUCUGAAGAUGCAACUUCUGUUUUGCUGUGGACUUUUUCACCUCAGUUCCUGCCUCACGAUGGCCUCUUCAGGCUCUUCUCCUGCGUCUUAAUGGACACUCAAGUCUCAUCUCCUCUCAUGGUGGCUUUUUCUGCAGUGCACGUGCAUUAUAAUGGCCUCUUCUUGAUCCAGCUGUAUAUGUCUUUGAUUCUCAACUGCAUCUAGAAUCCCAAAGCUUCCCUGGACUCUCAUGUGUUUAGUUCCUAGCAGUGUGCCUUGGCUAAAUGCCUAUGUCUACUUUUAAUCUUGAAAGUGUAUUUCUGACCGAUUUGUAGUAAAUUCUGCCUAUGUCAUUUUACAGUGUGUUCUGUUUUAUUUAAUGUCUCAUUGUUUUUCUUGUCUUCUGGGGGUUCAGAGCAGAUUAAGCCUCUGCUUUGUCUGUUUGUCUUUGCCCUGGACAUGGUAGCUGCUCAUUUCAGGUCUUGUUUUUUAUAUUUUUUCCUGUUAACUUUUAUCCUCUUGCUCUGUCACCCAGGCUUGGGUGUCAUCAUGUGAUCAUGGCUCCACUGCAGCCUUGGCCUUUUGGCCUUUACUGAUUUUCCCCAGUCAUCAUCUUCAGUAGCUGGGACUACAGGCAGACGUUGCCAUUUCUGACUAAAUUCUGGUUUGGUUUGAGAAGUUGGUUCUCUGUUGCUCAGGGUGGUCGUUUUUUUUUUUUUUUGAGAUGGAGUCUCACUCAGUUGCCCAGUCUAGAGUGCAGUGGCAGGAUCUCAGCUCAUUGCAGCCUUGGCCUCCUGGGUUCAAGUGAUUCUCCUACCUCAGCCUCCUGAGUAGCUGGGAUGAUAGGUGCGUGCCGCCAAGACCGGCUAAUUUUUGUUGUUGUAUCGGGACGAGCAUAGAAAACACCAAGACAAAAGUAUGCCCAAUUGCAGGGUUUAUUGCCGGCGACCACAGAGGACUCACGUCUGUCCAACCCGUGGCAGAGAAAGAAGGGUGACAAGACCUUUUUAUACCCGCAAAACCACCUUGGGAGUGGGGGUGAGGAGUGGGGAUGGGAUGAAAGUCUUCAGACAUUUCGGGGGCUGUAAAUCACCUCAUGGGCAGAGCGGAGGGUGAUGGGGCUCUGGACAGUCCAAGGGCCAGGCGACUUUUGUCAUUCCAAUUGCCACUUAAGUGGUUUACAGAAGUCAAGAUAAACAUUAGUUUCUAAACAUUAUUUGGGCAGGUGUGGGGUCCACAGAUUUUCUAGUUACUUUGCAUCAGGAUGGAAUUAUCUGGGGGUGCUUACUCUGGUCAUUACCGGUAAACAAAGGCCAGCAAUUCUGGCAGUUACAGAUAAGAGAAGGUAUGCAGCUUUACCUCUUUGCAUUCUGCAAAGUAAACUAGCAGUUUACAGAGGCCAAGGUUAGCAGUUAUUGUGAGGAGAAUGGAAACAGUUUUGUCUUUUAUAAAACGGCAGUGUACAGGUUCUAACUCUGGGCCAGCCAUAUCACAUUGUAUUGUUAAUAUAGAUGGGGUUUCACCAAGUUUUUCAGGUAAGCUGGUCUUAAACUCUUGGACAACAAUAAUCCUCUUUCCUGGGCCUCUCAAACUGCUGAGAUUAGAAACAUGAACCAUCAUCUAUGACCUGUCCUUUGCUUGCCAUGUACAACUAAUAAUUUACUUUUUGAUUAAUAUGCUAUGGUUAUAUACAUUUGUGAAUAUAUAGAUAUUUUAAUGUUUUCUGGGAUAUCAAUUUUUUUCUUUCUUUUUUGAGACAAGUUACUGCUUUGUCAUUCAGGCUGAAGUGCAGUGGUGUGAUCUCGGCUCACUGCAACUCCUGCCUUCUUGGCUUAAGUGAUCCUCCCACCUUGGCCUUCUGAGUAGAUGGGAGAGCUGCCAUGCCCAUCUAAUUUUUAUAUUUGUGUAGACACAGGGUCUCACCCAGCUUCAAACUCUUGGGCUCAACUGAUCCUCCCCACUCAACCUCCCACUGUGCUGGGAUUGCAAGUGUGAGGCACUACACCUGGUCUGCCAUUUUCUCUUUAUGGAUCAUUAAGGAUUUACCUUUUAGUGUACUAUAAACACAUGUAGAUAUGUGUGUAUAUAUUUAUAUGUGAAUAUUUGUGUGUAUAUCUUUUCAUAGCAUGCACACACACCCACCAUAAACAUUGUGAAAGAGAUAUUUGCAUACCCAGAAAUUGAUAAGCUUCUUCCAGCUUUUGAAAUGACCCUUAGCACAAAUAGGAAAGAAGUACAAAGUAUCAUUAUUAAUGACCAUGGACCAGGAUGACCAUGAGUCAAUUGUACUUGGCAGCUCGACCUUCUAGUGGAGCAUCUCAAAGGGCUUGAUGUAUCUGAACAUCAUGCCCUUUUGCAUUCAUUAGGUUGCUUUGUAAUUCUUACUUCUCUUGAAACCUCAUUGUAACCCUCAUCAGUGUGGAAUCAGAAACUAUUUUCCAAAUCUUAGCGAUAUGGAAUAACAGCUUUUGUAAGGAAAUAGUUAUUGCAUUUGGUUUGUUAUGACAAUUUCCUGGCCUAGGCAGAUGAAAUAUUGCAGGAGUGUGUGUGUGUGUGCGCGCACAUGUGCUUGUGGAUGCAUGCAUGCAUGCAUACAUUCUUGUACACAGAUGUGGAGACAGAAGUAGGGGGUUGAAUUUGAUAAAAGCAGAAAGUGUAGGCUGUUCGGAUGGGCACUUGUUUUGGCAGCAGCUGUGUAACUGUAACUCUAGAGUUAAGAAAUAAUUGUGUCAAUUUUCUCUCCCAGAAAAUAAAAUUAUAAUUUCUGCCUUGAUAUGUCAAUUAGGUGGUCCACUAUAGGCAAAAUAUCUUGUAUAUAAUAGGUGCUGAAUAAAUACUACUUUCUGUAGCACAUUCUUAAUUAGUACUUAAUUUUGAAAA